rnacentral:rRNA from 1 species
AAAAUUAGAGUGUUCAAAGCAGGCAGAUCCAAUUUUCUGCCACCGAAUACAUUAGCAUGGGAUAAUGGAAUAGGACCCUGUCCUCCUAUUUUCAGUUGGUUUUGGCACGCGAGGACCAGGGUAAUGAUUAAUAGGGAUAGUUGGGGGCAUUAAUAUUUAAUUGUCAGAGGUGAAAUUCUUGGAUUUAUGAAAGAUUAACUUCUGCGAAAGCAUCUGCCAAGGAUGUUUUCAUUAAUCAAGAACGAAAGUUAGGGGAUCGAAGACGAUCAGAUACCGUCGUAGUCUUAACCAUAAACGAUGCCGACCAGCGAUUAGGAGACGUUGAAUACAAAACACCACCAUCGGUGCGGUCGUCCUUGGCGCGUCGCGGCUUGCCGCGGCGUGCGAGGGCGGUUUAGCCUGAUGGCAUCGGUGAA